rnacentral:SRP_RNA from 1 species
GCCGGACGCGGUGGCGCGCGCCUGUAGUCCCAGCUACUCGGGAGGCUGAGGCAGGAGGAUCGCUUGAGCCCAGGAGUUCUGGGCUGUAGUGCGCUAUGCCGAUCGGGUGUCCGCACUAAGUUCGGCAUCAAUAUGGUGACCUCCCGGGAGCACCGGCCCAGGUCGGAAACGGAGCAGGUCAAAACUCCCGUGCUGAUCAGUAGUGGGAUCGCGCCUGUGAAUAGCCACUGCACUCCAGCCUGGGCAACAUAGCGAGACCCCGUCU